GUGGGGAAUCUUGCGCAAUGGGCGAAAGCCUGACGCAGCCAUGCCGCGUGAAUGAUGAAGGUCUUAGGAUUGUAAAAUUCUUUCACCGGGGACGAUAAUGACGGUACCCGGAGAAGAAGCUCCGGCUAACUUCGUGCCAGCAGCCGCGGUAAUACGAAGGGGGCUAGCGUUGCUCGGAAUUACUGGGCGUAAAGGGCGCGUAGGCGGACAGCUUAGUCAGAGGUGAAAGCCCAGGGCUCAACCUUGGAAUUGCCUUUGAUACUGGCUGUGUUGAGUUUGGGAGAGGUGAGUGGAACUCCGAGUGUAGAGGUGAAAUUCGUAGAUAUUCGGAAGAACACCAGUGGCGAAGGCGACUCACUGGCCCAAUACUGACGCUGAGGCGCGAAAGCGUGGGGAGCAAACAGGAUUAGAAACCCCGGUAGUCC
rnacentral:rRNA from 1 species